UAUCAUCACCAUGGUACAGUGUCUGUGAAGAUAGUGAAGCAGACCCAGCAUUCACAAAAAAGAGAGGUCCCAUAAAGAGAAGAUCCUGGAGCAAACAGGAAGUACAUGCUGUGGUGAAAGCUGAACCAUUGGCUCUAAAAACCAGAGAUUGGUCAGCUUUGGAUUUUUAUAUUAAAAACUGAAUCUCGGCUCUUUAGA